GAUGAACGCUGGCGGCGUGCUUAACACAUGCAAGUCGAACGGAAAGGCUCCUGCUUGCAGGGGUACUCGAGUGGCGAACGGGUGAGUAACACGUGGGUGAUCUGCCCUGCACUUCGGGAUAAGCCUGGGAAACUGGGUCUAAUACCGGAUAGGACGAUGGUUUGGAUGCCACUGUGGAAAGUUUUUCGGUGUGGGAUGAGCUCGCGGCCUAUCAGCUUGUUGGUGGGGUAAUGGCCUACCAAGGCGUCGACGGGUAGCCGGCCUGAGAGGGUGUACGGCCACAUUGGGACUGAGAUACGGCCCAGACUCCUACGGGAGGCAGCAGUGGGGAAUAUUGCACAAUGGGCGCAAGCCUGAUGCAGCGACGCCGCGUGGGGGAUGACAGCCUUCGGGUUGUAAACUCCUUUCGCUAGGGACGAAGCGCAAGUGACGGUACCUGGAGAAGAAGCACCGGCUAACUACGUG
rnacentral:rRNA from 1 species